GGGAAGGGCUCUUUGCGCAUGUGCCACCCCGCCUAUGCACGCCAUCUUCCGCCAGAGAAUCCCGGCUCCUGCUGCAAUGGAGAGGCUGCUCUGGAAGCUCUGGCAUUGGGGUCUUCAUCCCUGCAGUCUUUUCCAGCUAUUGUGUAGAGCGUUUUGGGCAAGAGAAUCUAGGACCAAGCCACACCGGUUCUCUGCUUUAACCCACUCCAUUCGACUGUUCUCCCAGCUAUGUUUCCAGAGUGCUCUGUGCAUUUCCACAAUCAACAAAAGAUGAACAAAUCUCUUGUGAGUCAUUUGUUUAUAUAUUCCUCUCUUUGUUUUACAUUGUAUUUUUUGCCUUUAUGGAGUCCACGGAUUAAAAUGAAAAAAUAGAAAUAAGUAAAAUUCACGUCAAAGGAAAUGCACAUAAAUAAAAUAAUGCUGGCAUGUAGACAUAUGCAGGUUAUAAGCCAUGGAACUGGAGUACAAAUGUGUCUCUGGUCUUUCUGAUGCUGCAACAAAAAGGCAGUCACGUUUGUUACAUGAUUGGAAUGGAACCUGGAAGGAGUGCAUGCUGCAUUCUCAUGGGACAGGAAGACUUGCUGUCACCAAAGUCUGGAACACUGACUGCAUUGGUCACAGAGAUGAUGUAGUGAAAAGUUUUUUUUACUGCCAACCUGGAAAUAAAUACUUUUAGCAUUUUGCAGUA